rnacentral:sRNA from 1 species
AGCUCGACCGGAUCGACCGCGCGCGUCACCAGCAGAUAGUCGCGGAUGCAGAUGCCGUGGCGGCCCUC